rnacentral:rRNA from 1 species
CAGUAGCCGCGGGAAUACGAAGGGGGCUAGCGUUGCUCGGAAUGACUGGGCGUAAAGGGCGCGUAGGCGGCAUAUACAGUCAGGCGUGAAAUUCCCGGGCUUAACCUGGGGGCUGCGUUUGAUACGUAUGGGCUAGAGUGGGGAAGAGGGUUGUGGAAUUCCCAGUGUAGAGGUGAAAUUCGUAGAUAUUGGGAAGAACACCGGUGGCGAAGGCGGCAACCUGGUCCUUGACUGACGCUGAGGCGCGAAAGCGUGGGGAGCAAACAGGAUUAGAUACCCCCGUAGUCCCUGUCUCUUAUAC